GGAUGCCUACAGCUGACAAGAGCUAACUGCUCUCACGGCAGAGUCUCUCUCCAGCCAGAUUCCCCAGGGUGACAGAGGAAGCACAGCUGGGGCAGGCUGCUGGGGGAAAAGAGCCUUCUCCCAGAAUGCUGACAGCAUUCAUUCAGGAGAGCUCCUUGAGGAUGGGAGAAGAGGGUGUAAUAAAUGGCUCAGUCUUCAAAAUAGGACUAUAAUCAAAGUUUACAAUUUAUUAAAGGAAUAGAGGUAAGCAAACAGCGAUGGGUGCACUGGGAGUCUCUGCUCCACCAAGACAUACACCAGUUACAUCAAGCAGCUGAUUUGUAUGCUCCCAGGCUGAUACAUAUUCAUUACUACUUCUAAAUAAAACAGGGUUAUUAUAAUUAGUUUCUGGAAUCCCAACUGGAGCAUGUGUAUCAGUCUCCGGUGGUCCCUCUGAGGGUCUCUGGGGGGUCUCUCGUGCUGAAGGCUCAUAGUCUUCCUCCCUCUUGUCCUUCUCCUUUGUCCAACUUGGCUGUAUGUCAGAGACUUGUGCAACAUCCCCUGCAAGCUUUGUCUUUUAGUUGUUCUUCAGCUCUCGCCAUCUCCUUAAUCUCCUGGCCAGAUAUCAGAGACUUGCAUAGUGUCCCAUGCAAUAGUCAUAAUAGUUAGCAGUUAUUCUGAAACCCCCCAGAUAUCAGAGACUUCAAGGAAAAGCCUACAAAUACAUUGCCCUUCAAGCUCUCUAUUGACACGAAUUGCUAAACCAUUCCUUUGCAAGGUACGAGAAUUAUAUACAUUAACCACUCUGUUCUUCUUAGACUUGUGGUUAUACAAGGGUAUGUAAGACAGAAGGUCACAUUCAUCAUACCAUGCGGCCCUAGCAUUGUUCCAUACUGACACAAAUCAGAUGAACAUAUCUCACAAGGGGAAGGGCAAGCGCUGUGCUGCAGCCUGGCCCCAAACUCAAGCCCCUGCCUGCGAGGCUCACCAGAGAGCAGGACAAGCAUUGCUCUCCUGCGCACACUGCCAGUGUACAGCCAGGGAAGCAGCUGCUGCAGCAGCUCAGAGCAGAAGGCCACGGUUGUUCACUCAUCCAAUGCAGCUGCAAAGGAGCCUCCAUUUUUUCGGGGAACUCCAGGCCUCUGGGUGGCUGCCACAGCUUGCACCACGGCUUCUCCUUGGGCCAGACCUCAGAAAAGAGACACUGGUCCUCGCAGAGAGCUGUCGCCUGCUGGAAAAGCAAGACCAGGUUGUUGAGCAAAAGCUAUAG
rnacentral:lncRNA from 1 species